rnacentral:rRNA from 1 species
UACGAAGGGGGCUAGCGUUGCUCGGAAUCACUGGGCGUAAAGCGCACGUAGGCGGCUUCUUAAGUCAGGGGUGAAAUCCUGGAGCUCAACUCCAGAACUGCCCUUGAUACUGAGGAGCUCGAGUCCGGGAGAGGUGAGUGGAACUCCGAGUGUAGAGGUGAAAUUCGUAGAUAUUCGGAAGAACACCAGUGGCGAAGGCGGCUCACUGGCCCGAUACUGACGCUGAGGCACGAAAGCGUGGGGAGCAAACAGG